UUGUUGCUUUCCCCUAAAAAAUUUAACUAUCCCUCUUCUUUGAAACACGUUCGGGAGUUCACUCUCAAUUGGGGGCAUUGCUUUUUUUCUCUUCAAGUCUUACCAUGUGACCCGCAACAGCAACGAUCUCACUCUCUGCUCCCAGAUUGUGAAGGUGUAAAGGUUUAAACUUGGAAUGAAUAAAUGAAUUCCGUCGACAGGGUUUGUGUGCUCUUGGGGCUGUGGCUGCAAAACAUGUUGAUGAAUAAAUGAUUUCGUGUGGUACUACCUGGCUCAUUUCGAAAGGGGACAAUCUGCAAUAUCAGUGGAUGACACAUUGAAAAUCAUAGCCUGCAGGUGAAUUAAAUUUACUUAUGUGUACUCCAUUUCUUUUUCUUUUCUAAAAAACAGCAAGAAGUUCUUAAUUGCCAUGUGAUUUUAUUAAUGAUGUCCUUUGGUGUUGUUAAGUUUCUUAACUUCUUUUGUGGCUAUACUGUUUAAUUAUGUGAUCGUUCAAAAGAUAUUUUAAUUUUAAAGCAAUGCCUUUAUAGGUGCAGCUUUGAAGAAAAUAGAUGAUGCAAAAGGCAUCACUGUGCGAUUUGUUAUUGGAAGAAGGUUUAAAUUCUUACUUUUAAACUUGUUGGGGUUUUGUUCGGGGGAUAGGGGGACCCAGGAUUCAAUUUUAACCACUUAUGAAUUACAUAUAAUUUUGCAGUGCAAAUCGUGGGGAUAGUAUGGAUAAGGAUAUUGAUUGUGAGAAUAGGCUGAGUAAUGACUUCCUAAUUCUUGUAUGUUUAACUACUUUAAACAGCAUAUUUUAAAGGAUGCAAUUUAAGUAUACCUCUGGCAUUCACGUUUCUGUAAAAAAGGCAUAUCUUUGUUUUUGAAAAUUGCCAUUUUCUUUCAACUAAUUUUGAUUUAUUUAUUGGUGGUUUAGGAGAUGUUGUGCAUAUAAGCCUGUAAGGAAUUGUUUACUUUUAAUGUUCAGUCUCAUUAUUGGCUUUGUCAAUGUUGUAGAAAAUUAUCAGCUAUAAGCUUUGUCUGUUAACUUUUUAAGUUAUUUGUAUGCUCUCUUGCAGUUGUAUGUGAGAAAAUUCAAUAUGAUGGCUUUAAAGUAGCUAUGAAACUAGGGAGUACUUUUCUGUCAUCUUUAUUGUUCCUGACAAGGGUCUAAAAAAGCCAAUUUAUACAUUUGCUCGUUUGAAGAAGGGAGAAGUUCUGUAUCUGGUGACCCACUCCAUGUUCGAGUUUGACCAAAUCUCAAGCUUGAGCUGAUCAAAUAUUCAUUCGCGUUUUGCGAUAUCUCAAAUUUGGUUUUGUAGCCUGAACCUCACACAGAUGAGAUUAUUUUGUGACUGGGCCCAAAGAUCUAGAAGUGGAAUUCUUUCCAUAAUUGGAUUAAGUUUUGAACUUGGUACUGCGGGAUGGAAAUUUUGGGAUAAGAUUGAAAAAUGUGCUUAUUGUCAAGGAAGCUGAUACAUAGUUCAAUUUUUGUCAUUUGAAGGAUGAGCAAUUGGAAGACUGCACCACAAAUAAAUUAGUGCCAAUUUUAAUUUAUAUUAUACAUAUACAAGAAUUCUGAAGUCAGUUUUGCUUUGUGUAUUGAUUUGUUAAUUUUUAUUUAUUAAUUUUUUAAGGUUACAAUAUAUACUUAUUGUACACCACUA